UACGUAGGGUGCAAGCGUUAAUCGGAAUUACUGGGCGUAAAGCGUGCGCAGGCGGUUUUUGUAAGUUUGUCGUGAAAUCCCCGGGCUCAACCUGGGAAUGGCGAUGAAGACUGCAAGGCUAGAAUCUGGCAGAGGGGGGUAGAAUUCCACGUGUAGCAGUGAAAUGCGUAGAGAUGUGGAGGAACACCGAUGGCGAAGGCAGCCCCCCUGGGUCAAGAUUGA
rnacentral:rRNA from 1 species